UGGGGAAUUUUCUGCAAUGGGCGAAAGCCUGACAGAGCAAUACCGCGUGAGGGAUGAAGGCUUAUGAGUCGUAAACCUCUUUUUUCAGGGAGGAAAUUUUGACGUGUACCUGACGAAUAAGCAUCGGCUAACUCUGUGCCAGCAGCCGCGGUAAGACAGAGGAUGCAAGUGUUAUCCGGAAUUACUGGGCGUAAAGCGUUUGUAGGUCGUUUAACAAGUCAACUGUGAAAUAUUGGUGCUUAACAUCAAAAAAGCAAUUGAAACGGUUAAACUUGAGUUUGGUAGAGAUAAAAGGAACUUUUAGUGGAGCGGUGAAAUGCGUAGAGAUUAAAAAGAACACCAAUGGUGAAAGCAUUUUAUUUGGCCUUAACUGACACUCAGAAACGAAAGCUAGGGGAGCAAAUGGG
rnacentral:rRNA from 1 species